rnacentral:rRNA from 1 species
CCUACGAGUGGCAGCAGUGAGGAAUAUUGGUCAAUGGGCGUAAGCCUGAACCAGCCAAGUCGCGUGAGGGAUGAAGGUUCUAUGGAUCGUAAACCUCUUUUAUAAGGGAAUAAAGUGUGGGACGUGUCCUGUUUUGUAUGUACCUUAUGAAUAAGGAUCGGCUAACUCCGUGCCAGCAGCCGCGGUAAUACGGAGGAUCCGAGCUUUAUCCGGAUUUAUUGGGUUUAAAGGGUGCGUAGGCGGCGUUUUAAGUCAGCGGUGAAAGUCUGUGGCUCAACCAUAGAAGUGCCGUUGAAACUGGGAGGCUUGAGUAUGUUUGAGGCAGGCGGAAUGCGUGGUGUAGCGGUGAAAUGCUUAGAUAUCACGCAGAACCCCGAUUGCGAAGGCAGCCUGCCAAGCCAUGACUGACGCUGAUGCACGAAAGCGUGGGGAUCAAACAGGAUUAGAUACCCCGGUAGUC